AGACUUUGAUUAUGGCUCAGGACGAACGCUGGCGGCGUGCCUAACACAUGCAAGUCGAACGGAACUGUUUUGAAAGAUUUCUUCGGAAUGAAUUUGAUUUAGUUUAGUGGCGGACGGGUGAGUAACGCGUGAGUAACCUGCCUUCAAGAGGGGGAUAACAUCCUGAAAAGAAUGCUAAUACCGCAUGAUAUAUCGGAACCACAUGGUUUUGAUAUCAAAGAUUUUAUCGCUUGAAGAUGGACUCGCGUCCGAUUAGUUAGUUGGUGAGGUAACGGCUCACCAAGACCGCGAUCGGUAGCCGGACUGAGAGGUUGAACGGCCACAUUGGGACUGAGACACGGCCCAGACUCCUACGGGAGGCAGCAGUGGGGGAUAUUGCGCAAUGGGGGCAACCCUGACGCAGCAACGCCGCGUGAAGGAUGAAGGUUUUCGGAUUGUAAACUUCUUUUAUUAAGGACGAAACUUGACGGUACUUAAUGAAUAAGCUCCGGCUAACUACGUGCCAGCAGCCGCGGUAAUACGUAGGGAGCAAGCGUUGUCCGGAUUUACUGGGUGUAAAGGGUGCGUAGGCGGCUUUGCAAGUCAGAUGUGAAAUCUAUGGGCUCAACCCAUAGACUGCAUUUGAAACUGUAGAGCUUGAGUGAAGUAGAGGCAGGCGGAAUUCCCCGUGUAGCGGUGAAAUGCGUAGAGAUGGGGAGGAACACCAGUGGCGAAGGCGGCCUGCUGGGCUUUAACUGACGCUGAGGCACGAAGGCGUGGGCAGCAAACAGGAUUAGAUACCCUGGUAGUCCACGCUGUAAACGAUGAUUACUAGGUGUGGGGGGUCUGACCCCUUCCGUGCCGGAGUUAACACAAUAAGUAAUCCACNUGGGGAGUACGGCCGCAAGGUUGCAACUCAAAGGAAUUGA
rnacentral:rRNA from 1 species